AAUAUCCCUGUAAUAACAAUAACAUUAAAUUAGAAAAUUGUUUUACUGAUUUUGGUUCUGAACUCUAUUCUCUUAUACAAACUAUCAUGUAUUUUACUGCUACAAUUCUUAUAGGCUAUUCAUAGAGAGUUUACGCUGCUCAUUUGCUGACUGUGAAUCAUGUCAUCCUUUGCUUUGACUUGUUAUCAAACUCUUGUAUUGCCAUUCAUUUUAUUCUCAAAAUCUUUUCUCGGCACUCCUUGUAUAACAGACUGUGCAAUGGCUGAGCUUGAGAAGUUGGAUCAGAAAUACUGAGUUACCCUGAGGUGGAUGGUCCAUGUGGCUAUUGGUGAUUGGUUGGUUCUUAGUCGUUCUUAGUCACCUGGGUUGUGCUACUUAAAAUGGAAUGUAGGCCGUUGGAUCUUAAUGUGUGGCAAGGAUCUAAUCUUGACUUCAUAUGGUUUUUAUGACCUUUGUUCUACCCGUCUUGGAGGCAAGAGAUAUCCAUUCUGUCUGGGCCUUUUUCGUAGCAGCUCUCUCUCUCUCUCUCUGAAAUUCUUCCUUCUGCUAUAGUGCUUCUACUAUUGUACUUUUAGAGAAGUUGAAGGAUUGUAUAACCCUUGUGUAGACUUGAAAGAAAGGUUUCGGUCUGUUGUUUUUUACCGUGGUGCACUGGUUUAGCCGUGUUUGUUCUUGUUGAGUUUAAGGUUGAUUCUUGUAUAGGGUUCUUGAGAUCUUUGUGUGAUCUAUGAUUAGAAUCUUAGGAGAGAGCUAGAUUGGUUUCUUUGUACAUUGAUCUCUUUGAAAGGCUGGUUUUACGUAGUGGAUUGGGCUGAUCUUGAGCCCCCCAGAUUAGCCCUUAUUUGGGUGAAUUGGGUCACCAA